UACAGAGGGGGCAAGCGUUGUUCGGAAUUACUGGGCGUAAAGGGCGCGUAGGCGGCCUGUUAAGUCGAACGUGAAAUCCCCGGGCUCAACCCGGGAACUGCGUCCGAUACUGGCAGGCUUGAAUUCGGGAGAGGGAUGUGGAAUUCCAGGUGUAGCGGUGAAAUGCGUAGAUAUCAGGAGGAACACCGAUGGCGAAGGCAGGUCUCUGGGCAUUAACUGACGCUGAGGAGCGAAAGCAUGGGGAGCGAACAGG
rnacentral:rRNA from 1 species